rnacentral:rRNA from 1 species
GUAGGUGGCAAGCGUUGUCCGGAAUUAUUGGGCGUAAAGCGCGCGCAGGCGGUUCUUUAAGUCUGAUGUGAAAGCCCACGGCUCAACCGUGGAGGGUCAUUGGAAACUGGAGAACUUGAGUACAGAAGAGGAAAGCGGAAUUCCACGUGUAGCGGUGAAAUGCGUAGAGAUGUGGAGGAACACCAGUGGCGAAGGCGGCUUUCUGGUCUGUAACUGACGCUGAGGCGCGAAAGCGUGGGGAGCAAACAGGGAUUAGAUACCCUGGUAGUCCACGCCGUAAACGAUGAGUGCUAAGUGUUAGGGGGUUUCCGUCCCCCUUAGUGCUGCAGCUAACGCAUUAAGCACUCCGCCUGGGGAGUACGGCCGAAAGGCUG